rnacentral:lncRNA from 1 species
AAGAACACCAAGCUAUACAAUCAUAACUGAUAGAUGACCUAGGUCAGACCCACAAGAUUGUCACUUCAGCCUCCAUGAGCCCCUAUGAGCCCUGUUUAAUUGAUUUUUGUGGGAGGUGUCCUCGUGGUGUCUUCCAUCUCUCUGGAUCCUACAAUCCUUCCUCUUCUUCCUCUUUAACUUCUUCAGGGUUCCCCAAGCUCUACCUCAUGUUUGGCUCUGGGUCUCUGCAUCUGCUCCCAUCAGCUACCGGAUGAAGCCCCUCUGCUACAUCAUAGAACUUCUGUGGCAGACUUCAAGGCAAAGCUUUGGAAAGAACCCAAACUUCCAUUCAUUGGCAUUUCUAGGAAAACUCGGGAAUUCAGGAAGGUAUGUUCCCAGGGAAAAGCUGAGAUAGCUGAGAGAUGGAUGUGUCGACUGAUAACGCUGACAGAGGGCAGACCUGGAGGGCACAUGGACUCGGAACGCACACGCUCUUUUUUCCAACGUGGAUCUAGACAGAUGACAUUGCAAACAUUACUCAGAGCCUGCAACAUUGAGGUUUCUGGAAGCCUGGCUGAAACCCGGCUGUGCGUGUUGCCAAUAUGUCCCUAAAUGGUGCUAUUUGGUUUGUCUGUGAAGGACAUUUUAAAGGAAAAAGAGGCUAGUACACGCUUCCUCCAGAAGUGAUGGGGACCACAGAAUCAAGAGAUGGACAUAUUU